rnacentral:rRNA from 1 species
UACGUAGGGGGCGAGCGUUGUUCGGAAUUAUUGGGCGUAAAGGGCGCGUAGGCGGCUUGAUGUGUCAAAGGUGAAAUCCCUCGGCUCAACUGAGGAACUGCCUUUGAAACUGUCUGGCUUGAGGCCGGGAGAGGGUAGCGGAAUUCCCAGUGUAGCGGUGAAAUGCGUAGAUACUGGGAGGAACACCGGUGGCGAAGGCGGCUACCUGGACCGGUUCUGACGCUGAUGCGCGAAAGCGUGGGUAGCAAACAGG